GUUCACUAUCACUAAAAUAAAGUUCACUGAACAGUUCAUCAACGAAGGGGAAGGGGUACGUUAAAGUAAAAUAUAUUUAGCAACUUAGAUAAUUUUGAAAGCUUUUAAGCUUUCUUUUAAAAAGAGAACGUUUUAUAUAUGUCCGUUGCGAUUUCUUCACUUCUAACUACAAAGUUUUAAAUAAAUUCGAAGUUGUUGACAAUCACUAUGAGACUUACUACGGUACAAUCACUACUUGACGGGAGUGCGAACGUAUAGGAAUGAUCAAAUAAAGAGUUCUAUAUAAAACCCGCGGCUACAAUUCUUUGAGGUAAGACAUUCUAUAUUUAGCACCUUUUGGGUUGUUGAUGUUUGAAUAUUCUUAGGCGGGAUUUUCUCUGAGAGACAAAAUGGCGGCCGUUCAGUGCUUCGAAGUACGUCACUUCAAAGUCGAAAUUCUAUAGGAAAGCUACCAAC